CAGUCGCCGCGGGAAUACGUAGGGUGCGAGCGUUAAUCGGAAUUACUGGGCGUAAAGCGUGCGCAGGCGGUUUGUUAAGACAGAUGUGAAAUCCCCGGGCUUAACCUGGGAACUGCAUUUGUGACUGGCCGGCUAGAGUAUGGCAGAGGGAGGUGGAAUUCCACGUGUAGCAGUGAAAUGCGUAGAUAUGUGGAGGAACACCGAUGGCGAAGGCAGCCUCCUGGGCCAAUACUGACGCUCAUGCACGAAAGCGUGGGGAGCAAACAGGAUUAGAUACCCGAGUAGUCCCUGUCUCUUAUAA
rnacentral:rRNA from 1 species